ensembl:lncRNA
GUUAUGAUUGGAGCUGUGAACCCCAUUUCACCUGAUUUGGGUGUUUUAAAUGUUAAAUGACACACAAGUGUCUGAGAGUGCCUGGAUUUCAAUUCUGAUUCAAAAGCAACUACAUUACUAUCUUUUGAGUCUCUUAUGUAAUUUGACAGUUGAAGUUCGUGGAGACGCUUGUGUUUGUUUGGCUGCGGCUUUAUGUUACACAGAGCAGACAACUGACCCCAUUCAGCCCCGAGGUGAACUCCAACCAAGGGAUCAAAGAUGACCUUCAUUGCAGGAUCGGCCGAGCGCUUUGGCUCCCGGUGCGUCUGUCACAGGCUCGCCAGCGUAUCGAAUGGCUAGCAGAGAACACUGGAGCUGGGUUCAGUUGGCCACAGCGGUGUGACGAAAAAACUCUUCAGAAACCCGCGGGGGAGGCGGACAUGUGGGCUUGUGGGCUUUGGUCUGGGUGUUGACUUUGUAAGUAGAGAGCUUCCUCACCAAACAAUGCAUGGCUGCAUACAGAGAGGCGUUCCACGUUGUGCAUGAAGACAACCUCUCUGUCCUUGCAAUUCAUGGUGGUAUUGUGCUUCCUGUGUCUGUCCAGUCAGUGGAUGUUUUAUAUUGAUGGUCUGUCGAACGGCCCACCUCUGCGCUUCAAACUGAACUGCCUCAACUAUCUGUUGCUCUUCAGCGCUGUUUAUGAGUGUAACACAAAAAGCAUCCGUGUUUGUACAACACAACGUGACGUCUUGCAGGGCUGCUAUCUCUGGUCCCACAUUGAUCCUGUUGGUUUACUGCCCAAUCAAAGUGGAAGUGGAACAUUAAUCGAACCAGGAAGUCACAGUUACAAGUCAGGCCACACUGUGUCCAAAAGAAGCAUCUAGGCCAGCGACGACCAAGCCCAGGAGCGACUGUAUACAAAAUGUACACAAUGCAGUGCAUUGCCAUGCACGAGCUUUGGUCAGGUUGGGUGAAAACGUCCGUGAUCUGUGAGCAGUGCCCGAGGCAGAGCACCAAGCGCGUCGACGCGCCGCUUACGUUGGGCUCCGGCCAAAAGCAACAGGAUACACGGCUAGAAAUGUAUGCCAUGCAGCAGAGUGUCAACCUGCCCAUUCCUCACACGACAGAUGAGACGGGCUCAGCGCGGCGUGGAGGCGAUGAUUCUGUCCGCCGCAUCUCAACGCCUGCAAGCAAACGCAUACUGUGACUGCCAUCACUCCGAACAUCGACAACAUCACUGAAAAGCGCUCCGACGGGGUCAACUAUUUAUAAUUCAGAUGUGAUUUCACCAAGUGCUUGUUGUUGGCCAGUGGGAGGGAGAGAGGGAGGGAGAGGGGAGGGAGGGGGUUUGGCUUCUUUUCUCUACGGCCAUCGCUGAGGCUUUUUCCUCACUAUUCAUUUCUACAGAGCGAGAGGCAGAGAGACGGCUCUGUUCUCGACACCCCCCCCCCCCCUGCAAGGUGAGCCCUUUACUUUCUGGUCUCCCUUCCUCUCUCUUCUCUACAAUCUCUCUCACACAUGUUUACAUGGCUACAUGCUUUGUGCUUCUCUGUUUUUUGUCAUUUUGUUCUAUUCCUAAUUGAAUAAAAAUGUAAAGUGGAAGGAAACAGCAAAAGCGGAUAACCAAAUGGAAACGUGAACAUUGAAAGCAAUCAGUGGUGGCAUGUAACCGCAGAUUCAAUAAAGUACCGUGGUUACGUACAUAUUGAGGUACUUAAACUCUAUUUGAGUAGUUCCCUUUCACAGUUCUACUCCAUUACUUGCUGUUGUUUUUACUCCAAUACAGACACCUUCUUGUUGAAUUGAAUGAGAAAAUGUGUCCUAACCUUAACUGGUACAGUAAACUUGACACUACUAGUUACUUAAUACAUAAAUAAACUGCAAUGUUGCAGUAUUACAAGUAUAACUGUGUAUUUGUAUCGCAA